GUUUUUAGCCUUCUCCCCUCUGAAAAAAAAAUCAGAGGAAAAAUUCAGAUGGAAAAAAAUCAGUCAUUGAAAUAAUGAGUAAUUAAAAUUCUGAUAAAAAAAAAAAAUCACAUAAAUGUUCACGUAAAGGAGACAGGAGUGAACUCUGCGCAUGUACAAGAGGAACGGAGGCGGGAAGCCGUAGCCGAGCCCAUUUCGAACUUUGUUUGAAACACACAGUCAGUUGAAGCCGUUGAAGAACAGCGUGAAGAUGGAACCUGCUACUGAGCACAUCAACUCUUAAGUGUGUCCCUGGAAGAUCUACCAUCAACUUCCAGAACUGCAACUGCUAGUACUGUCAGAUGGUGAAUGCUACUCAGGCAAACACCAUUGUUACACCACUUUGAAGGAGAGCCUGGUCAUUUGGUCCCCUCAGCUUCUCCCUUUCUCAGUGAUAUGUUCAUUGUGGCUGGGAUAAUUGUGGGGCACUCUUUCCUUCAUGGAGGACCCUGCUUGUCUGGACUCUGUGAUGUGGUUGUCCAUACUGCUUCGUGGGAGCCCAGACACGGCUACAGUAAACCUGGAGGACUGUGCAGACCUGGACAUUAGAGAAACAAUCAGGCUUCUGGAGGUGGAAUCAAACCUAUCAGCUGAAGAAAUGGGAAGGGUACAGAACGUGGCCUCUUCCUGGGACCUCCCUCCGCUAACCACAACCAACAGGGCCCUUAAUGCUCUGCGGUGAAAAAUGGAGCAACAAGGCUGACCGUGACAUCGGGAGAGCUGAGGCAGAUCAUCUUAAACAUGAUGCACCUGGACGGUCCGGUGGCGGAGACUUCAAGAAUUAAAUAAAAUUACAAUGAAAUGGAUAA